CCAACGUUUUUUUUAAAUUAAUUAUGUUUUUUUUGAUCUACUAAUAUAUAAAUUGGUGUAGUUUUUUGCUAUACAAAGGUAUUAAAAUAAGUUUUUAAUUGAAUGCUAAGAGAAUGGAAACCCAGAAAAAGACUUUUUUUAAAUUAAAAAUUGAAAUUUUUUUAAUUUGUGCAGAAACAAUUAUUAAUAUUAAGGACAAGAAGACCCUAUGAAUUUAUAAAAUUUUAUUUAAUAUGUUAUAACUAUUAAAAAAAUUUUGGCUGGGGCGGCUAAAAAAUAUUUUAAACUUUUUAAAAAUAAAAUGAUCCAUUAUUAAUGAUUAUAUGUUAAAUACUCUAGGGAUAACAGCGUUAUAUUUUUUGAUAGAUCAUAUUGACAAAAAAGUUUGCGACCUCGAUGUUGGAUUAGGAUACUUUUUUAAUGUAGAUAUUAAAAUAAGAAGUGUUCAUCCCGAA
rnacentral:rRNA from 1 species